UGCAGUCGAGCGGAUGAAGNRGAGCUUGCUCCCUGAUUCAGCGGCGGACGGGUGAGUAAUGCCUAGGAAUCUGCCUGGUAGUGGGGGACAACGUCUCGAAAGGGACGCUAAUACCGCAUACGUCCUACGGGAGAAAGCAGGGGACCUUCGGGCCUUGCGCUAUCAGAUGAGCCUAGGUCGGAUUAGCUAGUUGGUGAGGUAAUGGCUCACCAAGGCGACGAUCCGUAACUGGUCUGAGAGGAUGAUCAGUCACACUGGAACUGAGACACGGUCCAGACUCCUACGGGAGGCAGCAGUGGGGAAUAUUGGACAAUGGGCGAAAGCCUGAUCCAGCCAUGCCGCGUGUGUGAAGAAGGUCUUCGGAUUGUAAAGCACUUUAAGUUGGGAGGAAGGGCAGCUAAUUAAUACUUCGCUGUUUUGACGUUACCGACAGAAUAAGCACCGGCUAACUCUGUGCCAGCAGCCGCGGUWAUACAGAGGGUGCAAGCGUUAMUCGGAAUUACUGGGCGUAAAGCGCGCGUAGGUGGUYUGUUAAGUUGAAUGUGAAAUYCCCGGGCUCNAACCUGGGAACUGCAUCCAMAACUGGCAAGCUAGAGUAGGGCAGAGGGUGGUGRAAUUUCCUGUGUAGCGGUGAAAUGCGUAGAUAUAGGAAGGAACACCAGUGGCGAAGGCGACNACCUGGGCUCAUACUGACACUGAGGUGCGAAAGCSURGGGAGCAAACAGGAUUAGAUACCCUGGUAGUCCACGCCGUAAACGAUGUCAACUAGCCGUUGSWAGCCUUGAGCUKUNAGUKGCGCAGCUAACGCNAUUAAGUUGACCGCCUGGSGAGUACGGCCGCAASGYUAAAACUCAAAUGAAUUGACGGRSGCSCGCACAAGCRNUGGAGCAUGURGUUUAWNUUCGAWGCAACGCGAAGAACCUUACCWRSYCUUGACAUC
rnacentral:rRNA from 1 species